CGGCAACAGCUCAAAUUUGAAAUCUGGCUCUUCUAGGGUCCGAGUUGUAAUUUGUAGAGGAUGUUUCGAAUGCGGUCCAGUUUAAGUUCCUUGGAACAGGACGUCAUAGAGGGUGAGAAUCCCGUAUGUGACUGGGUGCCAAUUUCAUGUGAAACUCCUUCGAC
rnacentral:rRNA from 1 species